AGGGGUGUGACUCAGUGGUACAGUGCUUGCCUAGUGUGUAUGAGGCCCUAGGUUUGAUCCCCAGCACUGUGA
rnacentral:tRNA from 1 species